UACGGGGGGGGCAAGCGUUGUUCGGAAUUACUGGGCGUAAAGGGCUCGUAGGCGGCCAACUAAGUCGGACGUGAAAUCCCUCGGCUUAACCGGGGAACUGCGUCCGAUACUGGAUGGCUUGAGGUUGGGAGAGGGAUGCGGAAUUCCAGGUGUAGCGGUGAAAUGCGUAGAUAUCUGGAGGAACACCGGUGGCGAAGGCGGCAUCCUGGACCAAUUCUGGCGCUGAGUGAGCGAAAGCCAGGGGAGCAAACGGG
rnacentral:rRNA from 1 species